rnacentral:lncRNA from 1 species
GGUCACAGUCUUGGACGGGCGUCCCCCGCCGAUUCUGUCCUUUGUCAUCCGAGGUCAUCCGAUGCCGAGCCCUCCUUUCACUAUGUUUUCCUCUCCGUUCUCCAUCCCUUUGCCUGUGACACCCUCACGAGGUCGAGUCCGCUUUGCCCGUUUGCACGUGUGUCCCCUGGCACGGUCUCCUUGAACCAGCCCCUCCCGCUCCGCCCUCUCGUCUCCCCGUUCUGCUUCUCUUCCCUCCUUCCCGGGCCUGGACACGCCGCUCGAGGAACAUUCGUUGAGCCCCCACAGCACGUGAGCUGCGCGCGGGGCUGCCGGCGGCCCUUUUUCGGCGCUGCUGCAGCUCCCCGCUCCCCCCGCUGCCCCCCUCCCCACCUGCCGGGAACCUGGGUCCCAACUGCCCAGCCUGCGUCACGGAAGCCGCUCGCCCCUGCCCAGCACAUCGCCCCGCCCCCUUCCUCGGAGCCGACUCCUGAUUGGUGGGGGCGCGGUCCUGCUGCCGGCGCCCGCCCGCCCCCCGCGUGGCCCCGCCCCCGGGGCCGCCACAGGCUCCUCCCCCUCGCCCCCGCCCCUGCGCUGCUCCUCCCGCUCACCUACCCGCGGCGCGCGGAGAAGUUCUGGGCAAAGUACCGGGAACCGGCCGCGCGAGCGCGGGGCAGCGAGCCGGGCAGGGCAGCAGGGCCCCGGCGCAGGGCGGCCGGCGCGCGGUGCGGGCUCUGGCCCCGCUGUCCAUCCGCCGGUGGCCGUCCCCGCCUCGAUCGCCUGCGGCUGGCGCGGGAGCCGCCCUCGGCGCGCUGCGGAGCGGGACCGGAGCGGCGGGCUCUGCCUCCUCCCGGCUCUGGGGACGGAUCCGGGAGUCGGCACCGGAGCCACAGACGGCGUCCCCGGCGGCUGAGCGCGGCAGGUGAGCGCCCGCGCGCCCGCCGGGAUGGUCCUGGGGGUGGGGGCUGGCAAGCGCCGCGGGUGGGGGAGGGCCCCAGACCCCGGGGACCCGGGGAGGAACCGGCACUGGGGCCGCCCCGAGCGGCGGGGAUGGCUGCGGCGGCCGGCGCCGGGCUCCGGGGGCAGGGCCGGGCUGCUGCUGCCCACCCUGGAGCGCCGUCCUCGGAGGGACUGUCCUGCCUGGGCAGCGAGAGGCGCGGCGCGGGGCGGGAGAUACAGGAAACCUGUGUGGGGCGCCGAGCGCGGGCGGCGCCGCCUCCGCGGGAUGGGGCGUGCUGGGGGCCCGGGCCCGCUCGCCGCCCCCCGGCUCCGCCUGCCCCCCUCCCGGUUAGCCCCGCCGGGGACACCCGCCCCUUGGGCGUCCCGCGCCCUGGGGAGCGUCUGCAGCCCCUAGAGUCACUGGAGGGCGUUAUGGUUGAUCGUCCAGAUAUUUCUUAA